GGCUGAGGCUGGAGGAUCACUUGAGCCCAGAAGUUCUGGGCUGUAGUGCGAAUGUCCGCACUAAAUUCGGCACCAAUAUGGUGACCUCCCGGGAGCGGGGGACCACCAGGUUGCCUAAGGAGGAGAGCGGGGGGUAGGGGAGGAGGGGA